GAUGAACGCUGGCGGCGUGCCUAAUACAUGCAAGUCGAGCGAACGGACGAGAAGCUUGCUUCUCUGAUGUUAGCGGCGGACGGGUGAGUAACACGUGGAUAACCUACCUAUAAGACUGGGAUAACUUCGGGAAACCGUAGCUAAUACCGGAUAAUAUUUUGAACCGCAUGGUUCAAAAGUGAAAGACGGUCUUGCUGUCACUUAUAGAUUGAUCCGCGCUGCAUUAGCUAGUUGGUAAGGUAACGGCUUACCAAGGCAACGAUGCAUAGCCGACCUGAGAGGGUGAUCGGCCACACGGGAACUGAGACACGGUACAGACUCCUACGGGAGGCAGCAGUAGGGAAUCUUCCGCAAUGGGCGAAAGCCUGACGGAGCAACGCCGCGUGAGUGAUGAAGGUCUUCGGAUCGUAAAACUCUGUUAUUAGGGAAGAACAAAUGUGUAAGUAACUGUGCACAUCUUGACGGUACCUAAUCAGAAAGCCACGGCUAACUACGUG
rnacentral:rRNA from 1 species